CUUUAGCAGUGACUGGACAUAAAAGCUUAACAAAUAGACAGACAGGUAUGUUCAUCUUUAUGUGAAAAGAGCAGCAGACUACAUUGUUGUUUUCACGCGCAAACUUACAUUUUAAGUAUUUUAAAAUGAAUUUCAUUUUUAUUUACUUAAUGAUAUGGUUUUAUAUGAAAUUGUUUGAAAUAAACAUGCUUUGUCUGUUUAAAAAAAUGUUGCUUGAGGACUGUUUUCUGACCCAGCACCAGUGGAAACUCAGACUGCUAUACCGACUCGUACACAUUGUGUGCUGUCUCUUCAGUCGAUUUGAUGUUCUCAUAACUCUUGUUGCUGCUACUGUAUACUUUCCAUCCACAGAGCACUUUGGUGGAUGCAACAGUGGGAUUUGUAGUUUUUUGAUGCAGGAGAUGUUGCCCUUGAGCACCAGCAUGAAACCAAAACAACUCGAGCUGCAUUGUUAUGUUAGCAGGCUAAUGCUAGCGCUCUUUAGUUAGCUCGCAGCUUCACACUGCAUUGAGUACAGUAUGUUCUUCUUUUCUUCUUUUCUCUAGUCCCUCGAUUAAAAAACUUUUAUAUGCAAGGGCCAAGGGGAUAAGCUGGCCGGCCGUCCAGUCCAUGUAAACAUGUCUAGAUACGGCUCAUUGUAGACAGUCAUGACUCACAGAGUUAUGUUCAGAGGAUAUACCUGAUUUCUGCUUUAUUUAUGUGUAAAAUGUCCAUAUUCAGCCUUUAAAGCUUAUAAACAUAUUUUUCAAAAUGGCAAAAAGCAUUCUUAAUAAAUUAAACAAAGGGUUAACUAGCCUGGCUCUAUGGAAUUGUAGGCUAGCCGCAACCUCUGUACUAAGCUAGCGAACAGCAUUUUCCAGUUUGAACACAUGAAUCUUCAGAAUUAAGGCAUUACAGCAUUCAGCAAUACACAGUUCCAAAAAUGCCAUAACCAUCAUUUAUU